rnacentral:lncRNA from 1 species
GCAAAUUUGUCUCACAUCUCAGAAGAUAGGUGGAAAAAAUUAGUCUCCUUUGCCUUUGUGAACAUGAUCCAAGUCAAUAUUCAUUUAUAUUUGUUGAGAGCCAAAGUGUAUUACAACCUAAUCAUGACAACAUUUACAAAUGUUGUUUUUAUUUACAGUGACACAGAGAUUACUCUAGCUGUGAGCUUAGAAUGUGUGAAUGUCUAGGUAUACAUAGAGUAUGGGUCACCACCUCCCAGUGAUAUCUCACUGAAAAUAAGAAAGACUUUCCAACUGACUCAUCUCAUGGGACUGUUGAUUUUUCAUAUCACCAUGAUAAAAUUUCUGGUUUUAAAAUUUUUAUCCAGACAUUGAACCCUCU